ensembl:snRNA U6 U6 spliceosomal RNA
GUGCUCGCUUUGGCAGCACAUAUACUAAGAUUGGAAUGAGACAAAGAAGAUUAGCAUGGCCCCUGUGCAAGGAUGACACACAAAUUUAUGAAGCGUUCCAUAUUUUC